UUUCUUUUUCAAAAGAGACACUGGUAUGCCUCUCGCGGAACCAAAUUCAUACCUCAGUAAACCCGUGCCUCUCUAGGAAGAAAAAGAUACAUUUUUUUGGUUUUUGGGAGACACGACACAAAUUCAUUUGUCAGAUGAUUUGCAUGUAACUAAAGUGGAGGAAAAUACUGAAAAAGAGGCGCAAUGCCCUUGUGUUUAUUUAUGUUGGGCAUGCAUGCCUUGGUGGAAGGUAGGUAGGCAACUUACAUCAUCGUACUGCUGAGCCCGAGCCACAACUUAUUUAUGCUACUCCCGCGUACUUACGAACUACAUACACCACACAAGUCCAGCUCUCAAACGGCGCGGGCUCCAGCUCACAUUCACUUGACAGCGACCUUGCCGCCUCAGAGCGCGGCGGUUGCCAUUCUCAGGAAGGCCUCCACGGCUUCGUCGCCGCGGCCGCGGUCACCACGGCGGCGGUCCCCGCGCUCCUGCUCCUGCUGCUCGGGUCCGGCGACGAAGCCCUCGUCCUGCUGAUCCUUGGCGCGGAACACCUCCUGCACCUCCCUGGCGGGCCUGCCGAACGUGAGCUCCUGCGCGGGGUUGUCCAGCUUGCCGAUCACGUUGUUCCUCCCGGCGAGCCACACCCUCUCGUUCCUCUCGGCGUUGAUCUCGAAGCACACCACCUGGAGGUUGCUGCUGCCGCGGGACGAGGCGAUCUCCACGACCGGGUGGCCGGGGGGCACCACGAACGCCGAGCCGCGCGACACCCGCGCGCGGACCGUCUCGUACCUCUGCUGAUCCUGCUCCUCCUCCGACUCGGAGCCGGAGCCGCGUCGGCGUUGCUGCCGCUGGUCGUCCUCUUCUUCCUCGCUCCGCCUGCCCUUGCCGUGCUCGUGCUCGCGCUCGCUGUCCUGGCCAAGGUGCGGGCACACGAUCUGCACCUCGCCCUCGCCUUCCAGCACGACGGCGAGCUUGAACGACUGGGUGUUCAAGUAAGGCGCGGUCAUAGAUCCCUGUCGAUCGACAUAUGCACUCAUGUAAACAGCAGUCAAGUAACAAAUCAAGAUAUCAAGCCCGCCGCCGGUGAACUAAUUAAGCGUGGUGACGCACCGGUGUGAUGUUGGCCACGGCGACACGGACGUCGUGUUGGGCAAGGGCGUGGAAGCUCCGGGCGUCGGCCUCGAAGAGGCGGCCAUGGCGGUUGGCGAUCUUGGGGCGCUGCUCCAGGAGGUUAAAGGUGUCGCGCGAGUCGCCGCGGAACGGGGGGAGAGGCCAGUGGUGGCCCUGCCCGCCCUCGGACGCCUCGCGACGCAGCUCGCGGAGCUGCUCCUCGGACGCGCGGACGAUGGAGAUGGGCUCCU
rnacentral:lncRNA from 1 species